UCAAGCAAGAAAGAGCACAGGGCGAAUGCCUUGGCACCAGGAGCCGAUGAAAGACGUGACAAGCUGCGAUAAGCUGCGGUAAGGAGCAAAUAUCCUGUGACCCGCAGAUUUCUGAAUGGGGCAACCCGGCUACACAAGUAGUCACUGUAUGGUAAAUACAUAGCCAUGCAGAGGGAACCCGGGGAACUGAAACAUCUAAGUACCCGGAGGAAGAGAAAACAACAUGUGAUUCCCUGAGUAGCGGCGAGCGGAAGGGGAAGAGCCUAAACCGGAGUGCGUGCACUCUGGGGUAUGGACUGUCAUCACGUAUCAGGAUUGUUAGCAGAACGGUUUUGGGAAAGCCGGCCAUAGAGAGUGAAAGCCUCGUAAGCGAAAACAUGAGAGAGCAGACAGUAUCCGGAGUACCACGGGACACGAGAAACCCUGUGGGAAGGCGGGAGGACCACCUCCCAAGGCUAAAUACUACCUGGUGACCGAUAGAGAAUAGUACCGUGAGGGAAAGGUGAAAAGGACCCCGGGAGGGGAGUGAAAGAGAACCUGAAACCCUGUGUUUACAAGCUGUGGAAGCACGAUUUCGAAUGAAUAGUGCAACCGCGUACUUUUUGUAGAACGGUCCGGCGAGCUGCCGUUGCUGGCAAGGUUAAGGACAUAAAGUCCGGAGCCGAAGGGAAACCGAGUCUUAACAGGGCGAUAUAGUCAGUAGUGGUAGGCCCGAAACCGGGUGAUCUACCCAUGUCCAGGUUGAAGCCGCUGUAAAAGGCGGUGGAGGACCGAACGCACAUCUGUUGAAAAAGGUGGCGAUGAGGUGUGGGUAGCGGAGAAAUUCCAAUCGAACCCGGAGAUAGCUGGUUCUCCCCGAAAUAGCUUUAGGGCUAGCCCUGUCUUAGACCCGUGGAGGUAGAGCACUGAAUAUCCUAGGGGGCGUCAAAGCUUACCGAAGAUUAUCAAACUCCGAAUGCCACAGGGCCGAUGGACGGGAGUCAGACUAGACGAGAUAAGUUGGGUAGUCAAAAGGGAAACAGCCCAGACCGCCAGCUAAGGCCCCAAAGUGUGUGUUAAGUGGAAAAGGAUGUGGGAUUUCGAAGACAGCUAGGAUGUUGGCUCAGAAGCAGCCAUUCAUUAAAAGAGUGCGUAACAGCUCACUAGCCGAGAGGUUCUGCGCCGAAAAUGUCCGGGGCUAAAACACACCGCCGAAGCUGCGGAAUGUAGCAAUACAUUGGUAGGGGAGCAUUCCAUGGACGACGAAGCUGUACCGUAAGGAGCAGUGGAGUGCAUGGAAGGGAGAAUGCCGGAAUGAGUAGCGAGAGUAAGGUGAGAAUCCUUACGGCCGAAUAUCCAAGGUUUCCAGGGUAAAGCUGAUCUGCCCUGGGUAAGUCGGGACCUAAGGCGAGGCUGAGAAGCGUAGUCGAUGGACAACAGGUUGAGAUUCCUGUACCCCGUAUUAUCAGAACUGUGGUGACACGGUUUCAUAUCUGAAGCCGGGAGAGGAGACCCGGUACAAGCAUCCAGACAUUGGGAGGCAAAUCCCCCAUGUAACGCGAGGGUGUGAUGUGGAGCGAACCAAGAGUAGUGAAGUCAGAGGAGAGACCGUCGAGAAAAGCCGCUAUUGUGUGAUACGUGCCCGUACCGUAAACCGACACAGGUGGAUGAGGAGAGAAUCCUAAGGCCGACGGAAGAAGCAUUGUUAAGGAACUCGGCAAAAUGGCCCCGUAACUUCGGGAUAAGGGGUGCCACAGUAAUGUGGCCGCAGAGAAUAGGUCCAAGCAACUGUUUACCAAAAACACAGGUCUAUGCUAAACCGUAAGGUGAUGUAUAUGGGCUGACGCCUGCCCGGUGCCGGAAGGUUAAGGGGAGUGCUUAGCGCAAGCGAAGGUGCGAACUUAAGCCCCGGUAAACGGCGGCCGUAACUAUAACGGUCCUAAGGUAGCGAAAUUCCUUGUCGGGUAAGUUCCGACCCGCACGAAAGGCGUAAUGAUUUGGACGCUGUCUCGACAAUGCAUCCGGUGAAAUUGAAAUACCAGUGAAGAUGCUGGUUACCUGCGCCAGGACGGAAAGACCCCAUGGAGCUUUACUCUAGUUUGGUGCUGGGAUCCGAUACUGUAUGUACAGGAUAGGUGGGAGACUGAGAACUGUGGACGUCAGUCUGCAGGGAGUCGCUGUUGGGAUACCACCCUUGCAGUAUUGGGUUUCUAACUGUCUGCCGUGAUCCGGCAGCAGGACAACGCCAGGCGGGGAGUUUGACUGGGGCGGUCGCCUCCGAAAGGGUAUCGGAGGCGCUCAAAGGUUCCCUCAGGAUGGUCGGAAACCAUCCGGAGAGUGCAAAGGCAUAAGGGAGCUUGACUGCGACACCGACGGGUGGAGCAGGUAGGAAACUAGGACUUAGUGAUCCGGUGGUAUGAAAGUGGGAUUGCCAUCGCUCAACGGAUAAAAGCUACCCUGGGGAUAACAGGCUUAU
rnacentral:rRNA from 1 species